GAUGAACGCUGGCGGCGUGCCUAAUACAUGCAAGUCGAGCGAACGGACGAGAAGCUUGCUUCUCUGAUGUUAGCGGCGGACGGGUGAGUAACACGUGGAUAACCUACCUAUAAGACUGGGAUAACUUCGGGAAACCGGAGCUAAUACCGGAUAAUAUUUUGAACCGCAUGGUUCAAAAGUGAAAGACGGUCUUGCUGUCACUUAUAGAUGGAUCCGCGCUGCAUUAGCUAGUUGGUAAGGUAACGGCUUACCAAGGCAACGAUGCAUAGCCGACCUGAGAGGGGGAUAGGCCACACGGGAACGGAGACACGGACCAGACUCCUACGGGAGGCAGCAGUAGGGAAUCUUCCGCAAUGGGCGAAAGCCUGACGGAGCAACGCCGCGUGAGUGAUGAAGGUCUUCGGAUCGUAAAACUCUGUUAUUAGGGAAGAACAUAUGUGUAAGGAACUGUGCACAUCGUGACGGUACCUAAUCAGAAAGCCACGGCUAACUACGUG
rnacentral:rRNA from 1 species